ACGCGUGGGAACGUACCCAUUCCUGCGGAAUAGGCCCUGGAAACGGGGUUUAAUACCGCAUACGCCCUUCGGGGGAAAGAAUUUCGGGGAUGGAUCGGCCCGCGUUGGAUUAGGUAGUUGGUGGGGUAAAAGCCUACCAAGCCGACGAUCCAUAGCUGGUUUUAGAGGAUGAUCAGCCACACCGGGACUGAGACACGGCCCAGACUCCUACGGGAGGCAGCAGUGGGGAAUCUUAGACAAUGGGGGCAACCCUGAUCUAGCCAUGCCGCGUGAGUGAUGAAGGUCUUAGGAUCGUAAAGCUCUUUCGCCGGGGAAGAUAAUGACGGUACCCGGUAAAGAAACCCCGGCUAACUCCGUGCCAGCAGCCGCGGUAAUACGGAGGGGGUUAGCGUUGUUCGGAAUUACUGGGCGUAAAGCGCACGUAGGCGGACUGGAAAGUUGGGGGUGAAAUCCCGGGGCUCAACCUCGGAACUGCCUCCAAAACUAUCAGUCUGGAGUUCGAGAGAGGUGAGUGGAAUUCCGAGUGUAGAGGUGAAAUUCGUA
rnacentral:rRNA from 1 species